rnacentral:rRNA from 1 species
UACGAAGGGGGCUAGCGUUGUUCGGAAUCACUGGGCGUAAAGCGCACGCAGGCGGAUCGAUAAGUCGGGGGUGAAAGCCCGGGGCUCAACCUCGGAAUUGCCUUCGAUACUGUCGGUCUCGAGUCCGGGAGAGGUGAGUGGAAUUCCUAGUGUAGAGGUGAAAUGCGUAGAUAUUAGGAAGAACACCAGUGGCGAAGGCGGCUCACUGGCCCGGUACUGACGCUCAGGUGCGAAAGCGUGGGGAGCGAACCGG